rfam:Fukomys damarensis contig151230, whole genome shotgun sequence.
GGGGGUAUAGCUCAGUGGUAGAGCCCUUGCCUAGUGUACAUGAGGCCCUGGGUUCCAUCCCCAGCACUUUAA